UAAAGCUGGGCACUCAAGAGAGACUGCCGUCGACAAGACGGAGGAAGGUGGGGAUGACGUCAAAGUCAUCAUGCCCCUUAUGUCCUGGGCUACACACGUACUACAAUGGGCGUAAACAGAGGGAUGCAAGACCGCGAGGUGGAGCCAAUCCCAUAAAUACGCUCUCAGUUCGGAUCGGAGGCUGCAACUCGCCUCCGUGAAGUCGGAAUCGCUAGUAAUCGCAGAUCAGCAUGCUGCGGUGAAUACGUUCCCGGGCCUUGUACACACCGCCCGUCACACCACGAAAGUUGGAAACACCCGAAGCCGGUGGGCUAACCGCAAGGGAGCAGCCGUCGAAGGUGGGGCCGAUGAUUGGGGUGAAGUCGUAACAAGGUAACC
rnacentral:rRNA from 1 species